GACGAACGCUGGCGGCGUGCUUAACACAUGCAAGUCGAACGGAAAGGCCCUGCUUUUGUGGGGUGCUCGAGUGGCGAACGGGUGAGUAACACGUGAGUAACCUGCCCUUGACUUUGGGAUAACUUCAGGAAACUGGGGCUAAUACCGGAUAGGAGCUCCUGCUGCAUGGUGGGGGUUGGAAAGUUUCGGCGGUUGGGGAUGGACUCGCGGCUUAUCAGCUUGUUGGUGGGGUAGUGGCUUACCAAGGCUUUGACGGGUAGCCGGCCUGAGAGGGUGACCGGCCACAUUGGGACUGAGAUACGGCCCAGACUCCUACGGGAGGCAGCAGUGGGGAAUAUUGCACAAUGGGCGGAAGCCUGAUGCAGCAACGCCGCGUGCGGGAUGACGGCCUUCGGGUUGUAAACCGCUUUCGCCUGUGACGAAGCGUGAGUGACGGUAAUGGGUAAAGAAGCACCGGCUAACUACGUGCCAGCAGCCGCGGUGAUACGUAGGGUGCGAGCGUUGUCCGGAUUUAUUGGGCGUAAAGGGCUCGUAGGUGGUUGAUCACGUCGGAAGUGUAAUCUUGGGGCUUAACCCUGAGCGUGCUUUCGAUACGGGUUGACUUGAGGAAGGUAGGGGAGAAUGGAAUUCCUGGUGGAGCGGUGGAAUGCGCAGAUAUCAGGAGGAACACCAGUGGCGAAGGCGGUUCUCUGGGCCUUUCCUGACGCUGAGGAGCGAAAGCGUGGGGAGCGAACAGGCUUAGAUACCCUGGUAGUCCACGCUGUAAACGGUGGGUACUAGGUGUGGGGUCCAUUCCACGGGUUCCGUGCCGUAGCUAACGCUUUAAGUACCCCGCCUGGGGAGUACGGCCGCAAGGCUAAAACUCAAAGGAAUUGACGGGGCCCCGCACAAGCGGCGGAGCAUGCGGAUUAAUUCGAUGCAACGCGUAGAACCUUACCUGGGUUUGACAUGGAUCGGGAGCGCUCAGAGAUGGGUGUGCCUCUUUUGGGGUCGGUUCACAGGUGGUGCAUGGCUGUCGUCAGCUCGUGUCGUGAGAUGUUGGGUUAAGUCCCGCAACGAGCGCAACCCUUGUUCACUGUUGCCAGCACGUUAUGGUGGGGACUCAGUGGAGACCGCCGGGGUCAACUCGGAGGAAGGUGGGGAUGACGUCAAGUCAUCAUGCCCCUUAUGUCCAGGGCUUCACGCAUGCUACAAUGGCUGGUACAGAGAGUGGCGAGCCUGUGAGGGUGAGCGAAUCUCGGAAAGCCGGUCUCAGUUCGGAUUGGGGUCAGCAACUCGACCUCAUGAAGUCGGAGUCGCUAGUAAUCGCAGAUCAGCAACGCUGCGGUGAAUACGUUCCCGGG
rnacentral:rRNA from 1 species